GGAUGCGAUCAUACCAGCACUAAUGCACCGGAUCCCAUCAGAACUCCGCAGUUAAGCGUGCUUGGGUGAGAGUAGUACUAGGAUGGGUGACCUCCCGGGAACUCCUCGUGUUGCAUCCC
rnacentral:rRNA from 1 species